rnacentral:rRNA from 1 species
GACGAACGCUGGCGGCGUGCCUAAUACAUGCAAGUCGAACGCUGAAACUUGGUGCUUGCACCGAGCUGGUGAGUUGCGAACGGGUGAGUAACGCGUAGGUAACCUGCCUGGUAGCGGGGGAUAACUAUUGGAAACGAUAGCUAAUACCGCAUAAGAGUAGAUGUUGCAUGACGUUUGCUUAAAAGGUGCAAUUUCACCACUACCAGAUGGACCUGCGUUGUUUUAGCUAGUUGGUGGGGUAACGGCUCACCAAGGCGACGAGACAUAGCCGAACGGCGAGGGUGAGUGGCCGGACUGGGAGUGAGACAGGCCACACAGUCACGGGGGAGGGAGCAGGAGUGAUUCUGGGGGAAGGGGCGGAAGUCUGACCGAGAAAGGCGGAGUGCGUAUGGAAGGUUUUCGGGUGGUGAAGCUCGGUUGUAAGGGAAGAACGAGUGUGCGAGUGGAAAGUACACACUGUGACGGUACCUGAACAGAAAGCGACGGCUAACUACGUG